rnacentral:rRNA from 1 species
GAUGAACGCUGGCGGCGUGCUUAACACAUGCGAGUCGAACGAUGAAGCCCAGCUUGCCGGGUGGAUUAGUGGCGAACGGGUGAGUAACACGUGAGUAACCUGCCCUUAACUCUGGGAUAAGCCUGGUAAACUGGGUCUAAUACCGGAUAGGAGCGUCCACCGCAUGGUGGGUGUUGGAAAGAUUUAUCGGUUUUGGAUGGACUCGCGGCCUAUCAGCUUGUUGGUGAGGUAAUGGCUCACCAAGGCGACGACGGGUAGCCGGCCUGAGAGGGUGACCGGCCACACUGGGACUGAGACACGGCCCAGACUCCUACGGGAGGCAGCAGUGGGGAAUAUUGCACAAUGGGCGCAAGCCUGAUGCAGCGACGCCGCGUGAGGGAUGACGGCCUUCGGGUUGUAAACCUCUUUCAGUAGGGAAGAAGCGAAAGUGACGGUACCUGCAGAAGAAGCACCGGCUAACUACGUG